AUUUAAAAAAUUACCGUGAAAAGUAUCAACUGCUUUGUAUAUAGAAAUACAACCCAGCAGUCCUGGGAACAGGAGCCUAAGCCUGGGCCACGCCCACCCAAGACUUCUCUGAAGAAGCCUCUGAAGCUGAGCGCAUUUGGGAAUCACUAGUGUAUAAACAGGGCUCUUUUCUGGAGAUGACCCUUCCUGUGUUUAUCUGCCCCGUGAGUCAUUAAGAAAAGGGCAUGUGCCCAGCAUUUCCCAACGAACUGUGAAACCUUUUUUCAAGCGAUAACUCCUGCGGUUGGAUGGUCUGUAAAGGAUGAACUGAUACGCCAUCUCCACCCUCUGACACUCCCUGCUCAAGAGGCCAGGGCUGCCUGCAGAGAGGUGUGAGGGAGGAACAAGAAAACAAAGACGUUAAGUCUUGACAGUUAUGUUUUAAAAAGCACAACCCACACGUAUAAAUGAGUGGAGAGAUUGCAUGAUCAGGCUGAACCAACACAUAUCCCCAACACACACACACAUACACACACACACGCACACAGUGGGUGGGGAGGGAUACUGAUGAGAAAGAAUGUGAGAAAGAUUACAUCAGGUUGAGUUUCUGAGAAAAUGCUUUGGACCUCCGCUCCCCAGCUGAGUGGGAGAGAGGGGAGAGCAGGGGGCACAUGUCUGUGAGAAAAAGAUGCUUGAGCCCCUUAAGUUCUGACGGCUUGAAGGUAGAGCAGACCAUUAUCCCCUUAUGCUGCGUUAAUGUCCUGGAAGAGGAGUUGCCCAGAGCUUCCCCUGUGGCCUGGGUGAGCAAAGGACAGGUGUUGCCUGGAUGUGUGCUUAGGUGGGCUACUGACAGCAAGAGCUCCGA
rnacentral:lncRNA from 10 species